rnacentral:RNase_P_RNA from 1 species
UCCGGGGGAAGCUCACCGCCGAGGCCACGCACGGGGUGUGCGUCACCCACAGCCCCGCCUCGGGGAAGGUCUGAGGGAAGGGCCGCCCGCGGCUCCAGCAGAGCCCCGCCCGCGAGUGGGGCGGGUGAGCCACCAGCAAGGGGGGGCGCCGCGUCUAUACGACUUUAAGUGGGCCGGUCCGUGGGCAGGAGAAGCCGAGCAGGUCUCGCGUGGAGCUUCCACACUCCCCGGGAUCCCGGCGGAUGCUCGUGGCCCCGCGGUGCUUUGAGACAGACUCACGGCCGGCGAUUGAGUCCAAUGGGUGAGGUGGGGCAGCGCCCUACAACCCAAUUCAGACUACUCUCCUCCGGA